UGCAGCUGAACCUGUUGGUGAAGGUGGUGCCGCUUCCCAACCCAUACCCAUUACUGAGCCUCUGGGAGAUGGUGUGUCUGCAGGGAGGACUUUUCAGGCUCCUUUGCUAGUUAAUGCACGCAAGCCCAGCUCCCAUCACAGGGGUCCCCUGAGAAGGAAGAACAAACCUAUAGGACGUAGUAAGUCCCUGGAGGAAUCCAAACAUCUGGAACAAAUCC